rnacentral:lncRNA from 1 species
CAUGCCAUACGAAACGGUGCUAAAUCCAACUUUUCUCAUCAUGUACAAAGGGGAUUAACCAUAGGAUAUCAUUCAUCACAACAACACUGCAGAUUAUCUUUAAAAGAAAAUCAGCACACUUCUACCCAAUAUAUCUACCCAUCCAUCAAUCUAUUUGAAUAGCAAAAGAAUAUCACAAUUACAAAUUUAGUCAAUUCCAAAACUACCCUUUUACUUGGGGUAAAUUUCCACGCUGCCCUCUAGUUAGUUCUGCACUUGAUGCUUGCUCGCGGUCGACGCCUUGCAGAAACCGUCUCAGGUUGCGCGCCGCCGUCGCGUUGCCGUCGAUGUCGGUGCUGGCGCCAACGCUUAGCGCCAUGGCGGCGCGGGCCUUCCACUGUCUCGCGCGAUGGCGUAUCGCGCGGGCGUCGUCGCUGUCGCCCAUAACCGCGUCGAUGCAGCGGGCGAGCUCCGACCCGCGUCGAUGCAGCGGGCGAGCUCCGACGAGGGCACGGUGCCGUCCGCCGCGGCCUCC